rnacentral:sRNA from 1 species
UGAAGAGAAGGUGCUUCUCCUAGGGCCCGAGUCUAGGUGUCAUGGUGGUGGCUG